rnacentral:tRNA from 1 species
AUUUAUUUAGUAUUGCAAGUACAGUUGAUUUCCAAUCAAAAAGACUAAUUAAAAUUUAAAUAGAAUAAAUA